rnacentral:lncRNA from 1 species
UAUAGUUGAACACUUAACUAGUGAAAGCGAAGAUGAUGUUUUCCUGAAAAAAACUAGAAAACCAAAAGGAAAUGUCCUGAAGUCCCCCGAGGAUCAGAAAAACAAUGAAGUUGAUUCUCCUAUUCAUGUUGUAAAAAAGUCCAGGGUGCUUAGGUCAGAAUUAUCAUCUAGCGACGAUGAGAGUGAGAAUUUUCACAGACCAUGUCCAAAAUUGGAAUACUUCAAGGAUCGUAACAGGAACACCAGAAAAGGCUCCAAAGCCCAAAAGAAACGGAUUCAUAUGAAGGCUCUAGCUCGGGGGUUCUUAGACGAGGAAGCAGAGGUCUCUGGAGAAGAUGCGGACUGUGUCUCAUCAGAUGAGGGUGAUGACUCUGAGAACGAGAAGGAUUCCUCACUGCUUGAUUUUGUAAAUGACCGGACCCAGCUUUCACAGGCUAUAAAUGAUUCUGAAAUGAGAGCUAUUUACAUGAAAUCUGUGCGUAGUCCAUUGAUGAGCACUAAGUACAAAAUGGUCCGUGAGAAACAUAACAGCAUGAACAUUUUCUCACAGAUUCCUGAGCAAGAUGAAAACUAUUUAGAGGACAGUUUUUGUGUUGCUGAAGAAGAGUCUUGCCGAAGCCAAUCAAGUGAAGAAGAAAUUUUUGUUGACUUUAACUUAACUAAAGAUUCCUUCACAGAUGAGGAUAUAAGGUAUAAAACUCGGCAUGCAGUAAAGCUCAAACAAAUGAACAAGAAACAAAACUGUACACGGUCAAGAAAGAAACUGUCUAGAAUUAUCUUACCAGACAGUGAUUCAAGUGAGGAAGAAAACACUGCGAAUGGCAGAGAAGAUCCCAGUGCUGGUGGCCAUGCUGCUGACAAGCACACACAGCAGGGCCAGCUCUGGGCUUCAGGGCCAUCUGGGUCAGUGCAGCCCAAGGUCCUUUGUAAUCCAGCAGGGAAUCAGUCAUCAGGGCAGAGACUACAGGUGCUACCAAACAUAAUGGAUGCCGUUCCUGGAGCCUUGAAUGUGAGGGCUCAGAGCCAUAAUCAAACCAAAUCUACGUCACCACCAUGUGCUAGCGUUGAGUCAAGGAAGGAGUGUGGGAACCGUCCAGUUCAGUUGAAGUAGGGCGAGGCAGCAUCACGGGCGACCUUCACACACUGAUGCACAUUCAGCUGGCCUCUGACCAGGGCUUCCCCUCUUCAGGUUGGUGAUCAGGACACUUCAGCAGCACCCUGCUCUGCUUCACUGCUACCUGACGCUGAGGUACUCAUAGCCCCUAGACAUCCGCGAGAAGGAAACAGGGCCUGCAUUCUUGUAGACAGUCGAGAAAUCACUACCGGUUUGGAAGUCAUUUCUUCGCUACGAACAGUUCACGGGUUACAAGUGGAGAUUUGUCCUCUUAAUGGCUGUGACUACAUCGUAAGCAACCGAAUGGUAGUAGAAAGGAAGUCUCAGUCUGAAAUGUUAAGUAAUACUGCUAAGAACAAGUUCAUCGAGCAGAUUCAGCGCCUGCAGAGCAUGUUUCAAAGAAUAUGUGUGAUUGUGGAAAAAGACAGAGAAAAAGCAGCUCUGGACAAGAAGAAACUGCAGGUUUAAUAAAGGAGCUGUCGUUGGUGGAACAAAGAAAGAAUGCCGGGAUUCAUAUUCCAGCAGUGCUAGACACUGGUACAUGUGAGGCACUCCAGUUCUACUUAAGUAUUCCCGGUGUAAGUUAUGUGACUGCCUUAAAUAUGUGUCACCAGUUUUCAUCUGUGAAAAAGAUGGUGAACAGCUCCCCUGAAGAAAUCUCCACAUGUGCGCAAGUAACUCAUCAAAAGGCUGAGGAAAUCUAUAAAUAUAUUCACUAUACAUUUGAUAUGCAAAUGUUACCAAAUGAUCUUACUCAGGAAAGACAGAAAUCAGAAACAUGCUCGACACUCUGAGUCACUACGAAAGAACUCUCAUAAUGCUAAUAUAUUUCAAUAAUCAUUGUAGUUUGUGAUUACCAGUUUAAAAUAUGUAAAUAUUUCAUCUCUU